ACUAAAACAUGUGGUGAACGUACUUAUGGGGGAGAGGCCUGUCCAAGUAUCCAGAUCCUUGUUUAGAUUCAUCCAUCCCACAAGUAUUAUUAAAAGGUAAAAUAGUUGUUUGCAAACCAAACCAGUGGAGGCAUGAAGCUAGCUAGAAGAGGUGUGUAAGGAGUGGAGUGGGUUUGGACUGAAGAAGAGGGAGGGGAGACGACAGGGGAAGAAGAAAAUUGAUAUGCUGAUCCACCGCUUCACUCUGUCACUAUCAAUUUCUUCUACAGACCAAGCCAAACUCAUCAAACACUUCACUCUUCAUCGAAAUCACUGUAUAUCGAGUCCCAUUUUCACAACAGCACAGCGAGCAACAACUAUCCAUAACUUUUCCGAUCGAGUUCUAUGGGAGCACCAACUGUUCACUAUCAGCCUAUUGUUUUAUUAUGUUGGCUUCUAUACACUAUGAUGUAGAGUCAAGGCCAUGAGAAUCUGAAAUCCUAUCUAUGGCAUCAGGUUUUACUUAUUACUGGUGGAGGUCAAUUUCUAUGUUGAAGGUCUGUGAUUUUAUUUGCAGUCAGGCUGUCUCCUUUUCCUUCAACUCUUUAUUUGACAGCCAUUCCUAAUUUUUGAUUGAUAUAUAAAUUUUCAAAGCCAAUAAGAAAGUAGGAGAGACAGAGUUGUGCUCGUCUAAGGAAGAGCUUGAUGCUCGGGUAUGUUUUCUUGCCAAGCUUUGUUAUUUCCAGAUUUAAUCUGUUAAUUGUUCUCCUGUGAUUACUUGCCUUAUAUAUUACUCUCUAAUUUUAGACCGUUGGAACAUAUCAAAGACUUGCAGUAUGUCAUACAACAUGAGAGCAUUCCAUUUUGAAAAUCCUUAAAGAGAUCAAACAACUUAUAAACACAUCAAUGGGACAGAAAGGGCCUUUCUUACUCUUAUUUUUCUGUUGUACUUUUUUUUUUUUUUUUCCGCGUAAGUUUUUAAGCUAACAGCGAAAACAACCAACUUCUUACUAUAAUUUCUUUCUUUCAAAAUAUUAAACCUGACCGCUUUUCCUGACAAUGGAUUGUUCCAAUUCCAGAUGUGGAAUUCUCAAUGAAAAAAGAAAACAAACCUGCAGCCGUUGGUUGGUUAAAAUAAACCAAAAAUGUAUAUCUAAAAUAUCAAGUCUCUUCCUAUCUUCUCUUGUCAAAUAUGAAUAGUCUUUCACGAUGCAGUCAUACAAUUUGAGAUUUAUAGUGGUUUGCUAAUUUGGUGAAUUGCAAGAAAUUUGGUUAUUUGUUUAAUAGAUAAAAAGCAACCAUCAUGUCUUCUCUGGGGAAUAGAAGAGAAAGGGCUUAUGCAGAACGAAAAGAAGAUACAGGGGGGAAUACAAAACUAAAAGAGAGAAAGCCAUAGAGGUUGAAAAAAGAAGAAGUGUUAAUUAACAAUCGAAUGAACUGUAUUAACAGGAAAAUUGAUGUUUCCGGUAGAAUUCAAACUCUUGUAGUUGAUGUCAGAAUCGUGUCCUCUUAAUUUUCUUCGAUCUUCUUGAGGCAUAUUUACGAAGAAGUAAAUUUUGUUGUUGACUAUAUUGUUGAUUUAGGCCUCACUGCUGGAAUUAGUUUUGUUUGGCUCAAUUGCCUCCCCAUUUCUGUGUCCUAGCAGUCCGCUUGAAUCGGUUGGAAGGGGAUUGUGUUAAGGGUUUUGUUUUGUAGUUUUUAUUUUCUAUAUCAAAAAAAAAAAAAAAAAAUCAAAUGGACAACCAUUGCGUUCUAGGGGUAACACAUAUUGAACUGUUAGUAUCUUUCUUUUGAUUAAAUGGAGACAAUUACAUUCAUGUAAAAGAAAAAAGUUACGAUCGGGAUCACAAUGAAAAGCAGGAGCCAUAAUGGUCUACUUCUGACUCAAGUCAGAUCAGCGGACCCGGACAUUCAUCCUAAGUCUAAUAAAAAAUAAAAAAAAACUAGCUACAAAUUUCCAGUACACUAUAAGAUAACAAAGAUAGCUACUCAAUUGGCAACAUGCCAUAAACACCGGCAUGACAUUUGGGUUAUGAGUCAAACCUCUACCUCUCGACUAGUGAAUGUUCAUGAUAAGUUGCAGAUUAACCCAUCAUCACAAAUAGUCGAUGGUAUAAUAUCGUGAGAGACGCAUCACAAUCACGACAAGUCAACUCUGUUUCAAGCUACAGAAAACAAAAAUAAAUUAAACUAAACUAAGAGUAAGAGUGGUGCCUCAAGUAGGCCCAAACCUAGAUCCAGACGACACCCCUCUCCACUUUUUCUAGUGUAAAAGACCAAAAUUACCCUCAUUGCUUUACUCUCUAUCAGCCAAAACGAGAGUAGGCUGUGUCGUCUCUCAGUUUAAUUUUCUGACUCUUUCUCUACGAAGUCGUCGCAUCACUGGCCAAUUUAACAAGAAAAAUUCUUCCUGGUACAGAAGUCGUAAAUUUUACAGAGAAAUUAAGAGGGAGAGAAGAUAGACAGAGACAUGCGAGAGAGGGUGUGAGAUGGUAACGUAUAUAUGCUGCUGAGAAGCAGUUAAAAAGCUAAAGGUUUUACCCAAAAAAACAAAAGCAAAUCAAAUCAAUACCUACAAUAUUGAAGUUAAAUUUGAUCAUUUUCGAGAUGGGAACGAUAAGUCCGUGGUUUUUGUUUUGAUUUAUAUGUUUAUUUUAACUUUUGAACAAUUCUGUGUUUUACAACUUCAUGUUUAUACGUACGUGUUUUAACUUGUAAGGUGUUCAAGAGCCUUAUAGUAGUAUUGAGUUCACCCGUUUAAAGAAAACCCAGCACAACUGCAAAUGUAAAGCAAGGAGGAUAAUUACUCUUGAAAGAUUACAUUGCAGAUCAUUUGGAGGGUUUCAUUACAGAUUAUUUCGUUCUUGAUGGUGCAUGGAUAUUCUCUUGAAAAGAAGUGGACAGUUUCAAUUCACUCCUCCAAUUCUAAUCAAAUUAUCUACUCUCCUUUACCAUUUGGGUUAACCUCAAAGGCUUAAAAAUUAGUCAUUGGAAUAUUGACUUUCAUCAAAACCGUCCAUUUGUUUGAUAUAAUUAGAUGAGUU